UACGUAGGGGCCAAGCGUUGUCCGGAUUUAUUGGGCGUAAAGAGCUCGUAGGCGGUUCGGCAAGUCAGCUGUGAAAUCUCCACGCUCAACGUGGAGGGGUCAGCUGAUACUGCUGUGACUUGAGUCCGGUAGGGGAGUGUGGAAUUCCCGGUGUAGCGGUGAAAUGCGCAGAUAUCGGGAGGAACACCAGUGGCGAAGGCGGCUAUCUGGACGAGUACUGACACUGAGACGCGAAAGCAUGGGGAGCAAACAGG
rnacentral:rRNA from 1 species